UUUGGUUCGGGGGUUGAUUUGGUGAGUUCGGGUGGCAAGCAACGCAAGUUUGAUCCAUCAAACGACUGUUGAUAAUUUCCAGCAGCUGCUUCGCCUGUUAUCGCCGUGUGCGCGGAGGAGGAAGAGAGAGGAUUCAGCUGAGCCAGCAAACGAUCGACCGAUCCGGGGAUGGCGUCGUCGUUGAUGAAGUGGCUCAUCAACCCCCGUCGCAACCGGUUCGCCGCCCAGCACUACAAAGCCCUCUGCAAUCGCCUCAAGAAAUACGAGGGCUGAUGUACGACGAUCUGUACGAUCCGAUGUACGAUCUGGACAUCAAGGAGGUCCUGGCGCGGCUCCCGCGCGAGGUGGUGGACGCCAGGAACCAGCGCCUCAAGAGCGCCAUGAAUCUCUCCAUGAAGCACGAGUACCGUCCCGUGGACUUGCAGGUGAAGAAAUAGAAUGCGGAGCGUGAGGCAUUGGGGAGCUCUGCCUCUCUAUCAGUGCUCGAUUCCAUGAGAUAUCCAACAAGUUUUACUUUUAUUUGUAACUAAAUUGUAAUGGAAUAAGAGUCCACCCAGUGAAAUGGUGGCUAUUGGCUUUCCAUGUAACCUGGAUGAUUUUUAUCGGAGUUAUCAUAAACUAUGAUCUGUUUUCUGUUA